rnacentral:ncRNA from 1 species
AAAAAAUUGGGGCCAAUUUGGCGGCGUUUUAUGUCGCUGUUGGGUCAUUGUUUUCAUGUUGGAUUGAAGCUUUGUUUACAGCCGUCGCUUUGUGUCUUCAUUUGGCGCAUUGUUGUACUGGGUUAUCCCAGUGUGUGAUGUGGUCACAAUGGAUGAUCGGCGAUAGGCUUGAAGUGAUUCGCUCCGGAAACAGUGUCAGACGGGGAGUUUGACUGGGGCGGUACAUCUGUUAAACGAUAACGCAGGUGUCCUAAGGUAAGCUCAGCGAGGACAGAAACCUCGCCUAGAGUAAACGGGCACAAGCUUACUUGAUUUUGAUUUCCAGUACGAAUAGAAACCGCGAAAGCGUGGCCUAUCGAUCCUUUUGAUUGUGUAGAUUUCAUGCAAGAGGUGUCAGAAAAGUUACCACAGGGAUAACUGGCUUGUGGCAGCCAAGCGUCCAUAGCGACGUUGCUUUUUGAUCCUUCGAUGUCGGCUCUUCCUAUCAUUGCGAAGCAGAAUUCGCCAAGCGUUGGAUUGUUCA